GACGAACGCUGGCGGCGUGCUUAACACAUGCAAGUCGAGCGGUAAGGCCCUUUCGGGGGUACGACGAGCGGCGAACGGGUGAGUAACACGUGGGUGACCUGCCCUCAGCUCUGGGAUAAGCCUGGGAAACCGGGGUCUAAUACCGGAUAUGACUCCAUGACGCAUGUUGUGGGGUGGAAAGCCUUGUGCGGCUGAGGAUGGGCCCGCGGCCUAUCAGCUUGUUGGUGGGGUGAUGGCCUACCAAGGCGACGACGGGUAGCCGGCCUGAGAGGGCGACCGGCCACACUGGGACUGAGACACGGCCCAGACUCCUACGGGAGGCAGCAGUGGGGAAUCUUGCGCAAUGGGCGAAAGCCUGACGCAGCGACGCCGCGUGAGGGAUGACGG
rnacentral:rRNA from 1 species